rnacentral:rRNA from 1 species
UACGUAGGGUGCAAGCGUUGAUCGGAAUUACUGGGCGUAAAGCGUGCGCAGGCGGCUUUGCAAGUCAGAUGUGAAAUCCCCGGGCUCAACCUGGGAACUGCAUUUGUGACUGCAAGGCUAGAGUACGGCAGAGGGGGAUGGAAUUCCGCGUGUAGCAGUGAAAUGCGUAGAUAUGCGGAGGAACACCGAUGGCGAAGGCAAUCCCCUGGGCCUGUACUGACGCUCAUGCACGAAAGCGUGGGGAGCAAACAGG